rfam:Capsicum annuum cultivar Zunla-1 chromosome 5, whole genome shotgun sequence
ACUUCGUGAUUUGGGCAUUGGUCUAAUUUUCCAUUAAAUCGUUCUCAAGCUUCAAGCAACGGCUCUCCAUUCAUUUUUUGAAAAUUCAUGAUCUUAUCCCGCUUUU